rnacentral:rRNA from 1 species
UAUGUGAUCGUCUCUCGCAUAUCAAUAAGCGGAGGAAAAGAAACUAACAAGGAUUCCCCUAGUAACGGCGAGUGAAGCGGGAAGAGCUCAAAUUUGAAAUCUUAAAGGGUUUCCCAUUACGAAUUGUAGUUUAAAGAAGUGUUUUCUGUUGAGGUUUUGGUAAAAGUUCUUUGGAAUAGGACAUCAUAGAGGGUGAGAAUCCCGUAUUUGACCUUUACUUUCAACUUUGUGAUACACUUUCAAAGAGUCGGAUUGUUUGGGAAUGCAGUCCAAAAUGGGUGGUAAAUUUCAUCUAAAGCUAAAUAUUGGCGAGAGACCGAUAGCGAACAAGUACCGUGAGGGAAAGAUGAAAAGAACUUUGAAAAGAGAGUUAAACAGUACGUGAAAUUGUCAAAAGGGAAGCGUUUGACACCAGUGUUGUUUUUCUGAAGAUCAAUUAAAGAACUGUUUAUGCUAAGUUGUUUAGACUUUAUCAGCUAACUGUUUAGUUUUGAGCUUUUCUUUAAUGCACUUUUCAGUUAACAAGUCAACAUCAAUUUCUUUUGCUGUAAAAAAGCUUGAGGAAGGUGGCUUGAGAUUCGUCUUAAGUGUUUAUAGCCUCUUGCCUAUGCAGUCGGAGAGAUUGAGGUCUGCAGCGUAGAUCCUUCGGGGCUAAAUGCAUUUGUGCUAAGUUAUAGCAUUUUAUAGACAACUUGUUGACUAUGAUUUGUCUUGUAGCUUACUCGCUUAUGUUAUUUUACCUACGCUUAGGAUGUUGACGAGACUGUCGAUCUC